UUUUUAGAACAAGUAUGUCCCAUGUAAUAUUUGGGACACACUUGUACUAAAA
rfam:Sus scrofa breed Duroc isolate TJ Tabasco Contig1206_1, whole genome shotgun sequence.